UACGAAGGGGGCUAGCGUUGCUCGGAAUCACUGGGCGUAAAGCGCACGUAGGCGGAUUGUUAAGUCAGGGGUGAAAUCCUGGAGCUCAACUCCAGAACUGCCUUUGAUACUGGCGAUCUCGAGUCCGGGAGAGGUGAGUGGAACUGCGAGUGUAGAGGUGAAAUUCGUAGAUAUUCGCAAAGAACACCGGUGGCGAAGGCGGCAUUCUGGACCGACAUUGACGCUGAGGAGCGAAAGCCAGGGGAGCAAACGG
rnacentral:rRNA from 1 species